UACGGAGGGUGCGAGCGUUGUCCGGAAUCACUGGGCGUAAAGGGCGCGUAGGCGGCUCAUGAAGGCUGUGGUGAAAGUCCGGGGCUCAACCUCGGAUCGGCCGUGGCGACUCGUGGGCUGGAGCACUGUAGAGGCGGGUGGAAUUCCGGGUGUAGCGGUGGAAUGCGUAGAGAUCCGGAAGAACACCAGUGGCGAAGGCGACUUUCUGGCCUAUAACUGACGCUGAGGCGCGAAAGCGUGGGGAGCAAACAGG
rnacentral:rRNA from 1 species